UGACUGUGUUCUCUUCGUUCUGAGUUGUAUGUUAGAAAUGUCGCAAUAAUUUACUUUUUGCCGUCGCGGACCAUUACAGGGCACUGGCGGACCACCAGGUUUAGACUGGUUUAGAGCAGGGGUGUCAAACAUACGGCCCGCGGGCGUGUGUGUGUGUGUGUGUGUGUGUGUGUGUGUGUGUGUGUGAGGUUUAGACUGGUUUAGACGAGUGGACGAGGUGUAUGUGUGUGUGUGUGUGUGUGACUAGUGGACGAGGUGUAUGUGUGUGUGUGUGUGUGUGUGAGGUUUAGACUGGUUUAGAGCAGGGGUGUCAAACGUAC
ensembl:lncRNA